GGCACACAAAAUGCUGACUGGAGACAGAGCCCUAACUGGAGGAAAGCACUUUGAUGAGAAUCCCAAAAACUCCAAGAGAGGAAUCCCUUCUUAACUUUCGUCUGCCACCCAUCUUCCUUCCACGUCGAAACGCGGCAGAUCAGACGAGAGAGACUUCACCUCCGCAAUCCACCCGAGCUGAAAUGUCCCUGAGCAGGACAUUAAAGACGGCAUGGAGAUGCUGCAGCGGUAGCUCUCCUCAGAGGCCGACAAGACAAGGUAGGAGUCUGUCGGUGGCCGAGGACUGAGGAUAAAGCCACGAAUCACAUCCAGGAGUGAAAAUAUCAGAAAUGGCUGGUUAUGAAGGCAGUGGCAACUGGUUGCUUUGUUUAAACAAACAAACAAAAAACAUAUUGAAUUGUGUUCCUGCAGCGCUGUGACUCACAUAAUAAAUAUUUAAUUGUGAAAAGGAAUCAAAUGGACCAUAUGGUCACAAAACAACAUUGUGCUAUAUGUAUAAGCACAGUACAAUGAAUGCAUAUAGCACCUUGGUUAAUCUGUUCAAUAUUAAUUUCUAU